rnacentral:rRNA from 1 species
UCAAGUGGUCAGGAUGAUUAUUGGGCCUAAAGCAUCCGUAGCCGGCUCUGUAAGUUUUCGGUUAAAUCCGUACGCUCAACGUACAGGCUGUCGGGAAUACUGCAGAGCUAGGGAGUGGGAGAGGUAGACGGUACUCGAUAGGAAGGGGUAAAAUCCUUUGAUCUAUUGAUGACCACCUGUGGCGAAGGCGGUCUACCAGAACACGUCCGACGGUGAGGGAGAAAGC